AUACGGAGGGGGUUAGCGUUGUUCGGAAUUACUGGGCGUAAAGCGUACGUAGGCGGACUGGAAAGUUGGGGGUGAACUCCCGGGGCUCAACCCCGGAACUGCCUCCAAAACUUCCAAUCUAGAGAUCGAGAGAGGUGAGUGGAAUUCCAAGUGUAGAGGUGAAAUUCGUAGAUAUUUGGAGGAACACCAGUGGCGAAGGCGGCUCACUGGCUCGAUACUGACGCUGAGGUACGAAAGCGAGGGGAGCAAACAGGAUUAGAAACCCUAGUAGUCC
rnacentral:rRNA from 1 species